rnacentral:rRNA from 1 species
AUUGAACGCUGGCGGCGUGCCUAAUACAUGCAAGUCGAACGGAGUGACUCACGGGUGAGUAAUUUAUAGCUAAUCUGCCCUACACUAGAGGACAAUAGUUGGUAACGGCUGUUAAUACUCUCUAGUGUUGGAUGAGGCUAUAUUGUAUCAGCGAGUUGGUGAGGUAAUGGCUCACCAAGGCUAUGACGCAUAACUGGUCUGAGAGGAUGAUCAGUCACACUGGAAGUGAGACACGGGCCAGAAUACUACGGGAGGGAGCAGUAGGGUAUAUUGCUCAAGGGGGGAAACCCUGAAGCAGCAACGCGUCGUGGAGGAUGACAAGUGGCGGAGAGUAAAGUCCUGUUGUUAGGGAAGCGGUACCUAACGAAUAAGCACCGGCUAACUCCGUGCCAGCAGCCGCGGUAAUUC